GGAAUUAAUGUCACAGUUGGUGCUCUAACAAUGGCACUGACCUUUCCAUAGUAAUUAGUAAGUGUUAUUUUGUUGGGGUAGUUUAAAGUAG
rnacentral:pre_miRNA from 1 species